ensembl:lncRNA
UGGCAGGAGAUUUAUGCUACCUGACCAGCAUGCCUUGAGGAAAAAAAAUGUAUUAAAUGCUAGCAGAGAAGGAAAAAACCUGUCAAAAAUUGUGCUUUAUUAAAAUGCCAACAUUUGAUCAGAGCCAGCUAGACGAGGCUUGUGGUGGAUUCUGGGAGCUGAACUUACAGGAAAGUUUUGUUCUAUUAACAAGUAGAACAGAAUGAACUUUUCAACCUAGUGGGUAAAGAGCUAGUUUCCAUGGGCCUAAUUCUGUAAGCAAAACAAAUGAGCACUAAGAAAGAGCAGGCAAACUUUUAAGAGAUGGCUUUAGGGGAGGUGUUUUCUCAUAGCAGAAGCCAGAUGAAUGAAAUCAGAAUCCUUCUGGUCUUCCAAGUCUUCUCUUGGGCAUUGAACAUCUGACUUGGAAGAUGGGAAAAGGAGAAAUCAGAACUUGUGAAUUACAUCUGCAAAAACAAUGUUGAAGACUGUCUGAAAACUGACACAUACAGGAAGUGUUUUCCUGCAGCCCUUCCUGGAGCAAGGCUGAGCAGCACCAUGCACUGUGUGCAGAGUUGGCUGCAAGCUGCAUUGUCCUGCUUUCACGUCACACCAUCUCUUAUGCUCGAAUCCACUUCCAAAUUUAGCCACACAGAUGAAGAAAUGAAUUGCAGGCACAGAUCAUUCCUGGCUCGGCCGGCAGAUGGCAAUUCCUGCUCUCACUAUCUCUAAUUAGGUAAAGGGACAUUUAGACGGCAUUUAAAGCUUACAGAGCAGGAGUUUCUAGCAGGUGAGCUCCAUAACACCACAGUGAGUGUAGAAGCACAUCUGAAGACUGAGCUCAGCUUUCGUGUCACCUACUGACAGAUGAUCAAUGCUUCUGAGCCCGUGAAGUAACUGCUGUUAUGUAUCAAAUGGAAAGCACUUAACACUCUUCUAAUCUACACACUCAGCACUUAACUUUGUUAUGCCUCUGGAACUGCUGGAACAUGCAGUGCAGGACCUCCUGAUCCCUGUCUAAAGAUAGUGUAAAAUCUACAUUGUUUCUGGAAUGCUUCCUCUCACAUCGGCGUGUCCUGCUAUGCAUCAGUGUGGAUAGCUGAAAUGGAAGAAAAUUUUAAUGUAUAUGUGUUUCACAUUGUUGUUAUGGGUCUAAGGGAAAUGAGCUGUUUACUUUCUGAAGAGAAAAAAAAAAAAAAAACCCACAAGAAAACAGAAUAACACCAGAAAUUACAGAUUUCUGGAGUAGGUUCACAGCAAAGGUUGCAGCAGCAAAAUAACGUAAAUGAGAGUGAGGUUCUCAGCUCAGCAAGGGGAGUGCUUCAGGGGUGAUGUACAGUACAUAGAAACUACAGUUACACAAUCGGUGUUAUCCUUUCCCUGCCUUGAUUCCUCUUUCAUUUUCACAGGGAAAUGGCUGUGUAGAGCCAAUUACAGUGUGGUGGGUUGGUGCUGUUCCUCAGGAAGGGGUCAGAAGGAGCUUCAAGCAGCCCUUGUGCUCCAGCUCCCAACUGUCCUGCAAAAGUUGUGAGCAAGCAUGGGGAAGAAGACUUCUUAACUCAUUCCCUGGUGAUCUUUUUGCCUCAAGAAGCAUAAAUGGGAUAUGAAGCAAGCUUUAUCUAGCUUAGUUUGGCUCAAAGUUUAGCUGCCCUGACACAAGACUGAGGGCUGAAGGGAGAAAAGAAAAUCAGUGGGAAGUCCUCCCAGAAAUGCCGGUUUAACUUUAAAUGCUUGGUAUUUAGACUGACUGAAAUUUUACUUUCCAGUUGUACUGAUACAAUCGAACUGUAAUGAGAAUGAAUUCCUAGACUGAGAAUGUGAUUAACAGCUUUCAACUCGAGGUCCUUUCCUGAGCUAUUGGAGAUAAAGUGUCAGAGGAAUGCUGCUAUAUCUGCAUGGUUAGUGGCCCGGGCCUUGUGAAACCAUGCAUGGUCAACAAAAGAAAGCGUUUCCUUGAGCAAAAGAGCAUGCAUAGCACCAGAAACCAGCAGUCGGACAGGAAGUCUGGAGGGCUGUCUGGCCUCAGGCUUCAAAGGCAUCCUGGGAUCUGCUGCUGGUGGGGAAUAGUUUGAGCAGGCCACAGGGACCAUGUUCAAAAGUUUGUUUAAAAACAAAUAAACCUAUCACUCUCGUGUGUUUAUGGAUAAGAAAUUCCUGCGCUAAGGUUGUGCCCCUUGCUUUAACACCAAACUUGUUUCUGAAAAACAGUUCUUGGGAAACCAUGUUAUUGGGAUCGGCAAAGCAGAUGCGGGUAGAAUUUGCCAACUAAUUAGAAAGGCUGGUGUAGGUUAAGGGGCAGAAAAAACUCACAGUGGUGAGAGUGGGGUUACGUAGGGAAUCUGUACCUGGCAACAUGCAGCAGAAAUUCAGAGGUAGCGACACUUGGUUUGUCUGAAUCAG